CCACUGCUAUCGUAAUUCGAUUAAGACAUGCGAGUCGAGAGUCGUAAGGACUCGGCGGACCGCUCAGUAACACGCGGAUAACAUGCCCUAAGGUGGAGGAUAAUCUCGGGAAACUGAGAAUAAUACUCCAUAGAUCUAGAAUGCUGGAAUGCUUUUAGGUCGAAAACUCCCGGUGCUUUAGGAUUGGUCUGCGGCGUAUCAGGUUGUAGUGGGUGUAACGGACCCACUAGCCGAUGACGCGUAUGGGCCUUGAGAGAGGAAGCCCAGAGAUGGACUCUGAGACAUGAGUCCAGGCCCUACGGGGCGCAGCAGUCGCGAAAACUUCACAAUGGGGGCAACCCCGAUGAGGGAAUUCCAAGUGCUAGCACUUUUUGUGUUAGCUGUUCUUUUGUCUAAAAAACAAGAGAAGUAAGGGCCGGGUAAGACGGGUGCCAGCCGCCGCGGUAAUACCCGCGGCCCGAGUGGUGGUCGAUAUUAUUGAGCCUAAAACGUUCGUAGCCGGUCUUGUAAAUCCUUGGGUAAAUCGGCCAGCUUAACUGUCCGAAGUCCGGGGAGACUGCAAGACUUGGGGUCGGGAGAGGUCAGAGGUACUUCUGGGGUAGGGGUAAAAUCCUGUAAUCCUAGAAGGACCACCGGUGGCGAAGGCGUCUGACUAGAACGAAUUCGACGGUGAGGAACGAAGCCCUGGGGCGCAAACGGGAUUAGAUACCCCGGUAGUCCAGGGUGUAAACGCUGCGGGCUUGGUGUUGGGGGUCCUUAGUGGGCGCCCAGUGCCGGAGAGAAGUUGUUAAGCCUGCUGCUUGGGGAGUACGUCCGCAAGGAUGAAACUUAA
rnacentral:rRNA from 1 species